UUGAACCGUAUGCGGGGGAACUCGCACGUGCGGUUCUUAGGGCGGGUGGAUGGGGGGGAAGCUUGUAGGAGCCAUCCCAUCCCAAU
rnacentral:ncRNA from 1 species